UACAGAGGGGGCAAGCGUUGUUCGGAAUUACUGGGCGUAAAGGGCGCGUAGGCGGCCUUUCAAGUCAGACGUGAAAUCCCCCGGCUUAACCUGGGAACUGCGUCUGAUACUGGGAGGCUCGAGUAUGGGAGAGGGAUGUAGAAGUCCAGGUGUAGCGGUGAAAUGCGUAGAUAUCUGGAGGAAUACCGGUGGCGAAGGCGGCAUCCUGGACCAUAACUGACGCUGAGGCGCGAAAGCUAGGGGAGCAAACGGG
rnacentral:rRNA from 1 species